AUUGAACGCUGGCGGCAGGCUUAAUACAUGCAAGUCGAGCGAGCGGCGGACGGGUGAGUAAUGUCUGUGAAACUGCCCGAAGGAGGGGGAUAACUAUUGGAAACGGUAGUUAAUACCGCAUACCAUCAGUUGUGCCUAGAUGGGAUUAGCUAGUAGGUGGGGUAAUGGCUAAGCCAGACGACGACCCCUAGCUGGUCUGAGAGUACGACGAGCCACCCUGGAACUGAGACACGGUCCGGACUCCUACGGGAGGCAGCAGAGGGGAAUAUUGGACAAUGGGGGAACGCCUGAUGCAGCAAUGCCGCGUGUGUGAAGAGGGCCUUCGAGUUGAAAGGCACUUUCAGCGAGAAGGCGUUACUCAAAGAGGAAGCACCGGCUAACUCCGUGCCAGCAGCCGCGGUAAUUC
rnacentral:rRNA from 1 species